rnacentral:rRNA from 1 species
GACGAACGCUGGCGGCGUGCUUAACACAUGCAAGUGGAGCGACGAACCGGGCUUCGGCCCGGGGCAAAGCCGCGAACGGGUGAGUAACACGUGGGUAACCUGCCCCAAAGACCGGGACAACCCGAGGAAACCCGGGCGAAUACCGGCUGUGUUCACUGUCCACAAGGACAGUGAGAAAAGGAAGCUUCGGCCUCCGCUCUGGGAUGGGCCCGCGGCCCAUUAGCUUGUUGGUGGGGUAACGGCUCACCAAGGCUGCGAUGGGUAGCUGGUCUGAGAGGACGAUCAGCCACACUGGGACUGAGACACGGCCCAGACUCCUACGGGAGGCAGCAGUGGGGAAUCUUGCGCAAUGCGCGACAGCGUGACGCAGCAACGCCGCGUGGGGGAAGAAGGCCCUCGGGUUGUAAACCUCUUUCAGGAGGGACGAAGCUCCGGCCGCGAAUAGCGGUCCGGAGUGACGGUACCUCCACAAGAAGCCCCGGCUAACUACGUGCCAGCCGCCGCGGUAACAC